AUCGAGAUAAUUGGUUUACAUCUAGCAUCUAUUAUCCUCCCAUUGAAUGCUUCGCAGAUGUUGUUAUCAAUGUUAUCGCACUUGAAUUUCUCGCUGAAGAACGCCCUACACCAAUGCUUCGGGUCUGUUUGGAACAGUGCAUCAUAACCAUCAUUUGUCAAUUGAAGCAUCUUUUCUUUGGCCGUCCUAAAGUCGGCCAUAUUCGUGCUCUUUGCUAGCUGCCAAAAUUGCGACUGCAAUUUGUC
rnacentral:lncRNA from 1 species